rnacentral:tRNA from 1 species
GGGCGCCGGUAGCGCGGUGAGGGUGCCGUCCGGCUGGCGGCCGGGGCAGCGCUCGGGCGGCAGGCCGGUCCACCACCAGCUGGCGCGCG